rnacentral:rRNA from 1 species
CGCGUAGGCGGUCUGUUGCGUUGGGUGUGAAAGCCCCGGGCUCAACCUGGGAUGUGCGCCCGAUACGGACAGGCUCGAGACCGGGAGAGGAGAGUGGAAUUCCCAGUGUAGAGGUGAAAUUCGUAGAUAUUGGGAAGAACACCGGUGGCGAAGGCGGCUCUCUGGCCCGGUUCUGACGCUGAGGCGCGAAAGCGUGGGGAGCAAACAGGAUUAGAUACCCUGGUAGUCCACGCUGUAAACGAUGCGUGCUAGACGUUGGGGGGCGUAGCCCCUCGGUGUCGCAGCCAACGCGUUAAGCACGCCGCCUGGGGAGUACGGCCGUAAGGUUAAA